rnacentral:rRNA from 1 species
UACGGAGGAUGCAAGCGUUAUCCGGACUGAUUGGGCGUAAAGCGUCCGCAGGUGGCUGUGUAAGUCUGCUGUUAAAGAGUGAGGCUCAACCUCAUAAAGGCAGUGGAAACUACAUGGCUAGAGUGCGUUCGGGGCAGAGGGAAUUCCUGGUGUAGCGGUGAAAUGCGUAGAUAUCAGGAAGAACACCGGUGGCGAAAGCGGCUCUCUGGGACGGUACUGACGCUGAGACGCGAAAGCGUGGGGAGCGAACAGG